rnacentral:tRNA from 1 species
UGGGGUGUAGCUUAGUGGUAGAAGGCCUGCCUAGCAUGCAGAAGGCCCUGGAUUCAAUUCCCAGCAUUGCAA